AUGGAUUCACCGCUGCUGCUGGCCGCGCUGUCGUCGCUCCUCCUCCUCCUAGCCAUGUACCUGGCGCUCGGCAAGAGGCGCCGGAGCUACCCGCCCGUGGCCGGCACCGUGCUCCACCAGCUGCUCAACUGGGGCCGCCUGCCGGAGUACCUGACGGAGCUCUCCCGCAGGUACCGCACCUUCCGCAUGCUCACCCCAACCUGCAACUACGUCUACACCGUCGACCCGGCCAACGUCGAGUACAUCCUCCGGACCAACUUCGCCAACUACGGCAAGGGGGCCAUGACCCAUGAGGUGAUGGAGGACCUCCUCGGCGAUGGGAUUUUCGGCGUCGACGGCACCAAGUGGCGGCACCAGCGGAAGGUCGCCAGCUUCGAGUUCAGCACCCGAAUGCUCCGCGACUACAGCAGCGGCGUGUUCCGCGACAUGGCUACCCAGCUCGCGGGCAUCGGGGCCGCCGCCGCGGCUGCCGGGGAGAGGUUGAGCAUGGAGGAUCUGUUCACGCGCUCCACGCUGGACUCCAUUUUCAAGAUUGGGUUCGGGGUCAAUCUCGGCGCGCUCUCCGGGUCCAACUCCAACUCCAACCAGGAGGGCGCGGCGUUCGCCAGGGCGUUCGACGACGCCAGCGAGCAGGUGCUGUACCGCUUCUUCGACCCGCUGUGGAAGGCCAAGAGGCUCCUCAACGUCUUGUCGGAGGCGGCCAUGAAGCGGUGGGUGCGCACCAUCAAUGACUUCGUCUACGCCGUCAUCGACAAGAAGAUCGAGCAGAUGGGCAGAGAUGGACAAGAAUUCGCCAAGAAACAGGACAUACUGUCGAGGUUCCUGCUGGAGAGGGAGAAAGACCCGGGCUGCUUCGACAACAAGUACCUACGGGACAUCAUACUCAACUUCAUGAUAGCCGGCCGCGACACCACGGCGGGGACGCUCUCCUGGUUCCUCUACGACCUGUGCAGAGACCAGCGCAUCCAGGACAAGGUCGCGAGGGAGGUGCGGGAGGCCACCACCGGCGACCACCAGGACGUGGGCGGCGUGCAAGAGUUCACGGCGUGCCUAACCGAAGACGCCAUCGGCAGCAUGCACUACCUCCACGCCGCGCUCACGGAGACCCUCCGGCUGUACCCGGCGGUGCCCAGCGACGUCAAGUGCUGCUUCUCGGAUGACACGUUGCCGGACGGGCACGCCGUGAGGAGAGGGGACACGGUGAACUACCAGCCGUACGCGAUGGGCCGCAUGAAGUUACUGUGGGGUGACGCCGCCGAGGAGUUCAGGCCGGAGAGGUGGCUCGACGACGACGGCGUGUUCGUCCCCGAGAGCCCCUACAAAUUCACGGCUUUCCAGGCGGGGCCUCGGAUCUGCUUAGGAAAGGAGUUCGCUUACCGGCAGAUGAAGAUAUUUGCGGCAGUUCUUCUCUACCUCUUCAAGUUUGAGAUGUGGGAGCGCGACUCGCGGUGGGGUAUCGUCCGAUGCUCACGCUCAAAAUGGUCGGCCCGCUCUAUGUUCGUGCGUCGCCCCGGCCAUCAACCGGGAACUAGCAUGGUGAGUGUAUGCGCGUGUAUAUGA
rnacentral:rRNA from 1 species